rnacentral:rRNA from 1 species
CUAAAACGUCCGUAGCCGGUUUGGUACAUUCGUGGGUAAAUCAAGGCGCUCAACGUCUUGAAUUCUGCGAGCACGGCCAGACUUGGGACCGGGUGAGGUGUGGGGUACUCUCAGGGUAGGGGUAAAAUCCUGUCAUCCUGAGAGGACCACCUGUUGCGAAGGCGCCACACUAGAACGGAUCCGACGGUCAGGGACGAAGCCUAGGGGCACGAACCGGAUUAGAUACCCGGGUAGUCCUAGGUGUAAACGCUGUGGACUUGAUGUUGGGAGUGCUCCGAGCACCCUCAGUGUCGAAGCGAAGGUGAUAAGUCCACUGCCUGGGGAGUACGGUCGCAAGGCUGAAACUUAAAGGAAUUGGCGGGGGAG